UAACCUGCCCAAUGAUUGAAUUAAAUGGCCGCGGUAUUUUGACUGUGCGAAGGUAGCGUAAUCAUUAGUUUUUUAAUUGAAAGCUUGUAUGAAGGGUUGGACGAGGCAAAUACUGUCUUUAAAUAAUUUAAUUUAGAAUUUAACUUUUGAGUCAAAAGGCUUAAAUUUAAUUAAAAGACGAGAAGACCCUGUAGAUCUUUAUAUUUCUGUUAUUUAUUUAUAUUAGGAUGUAUUUAUUUAUGAUUAAUAGAAAUGUUGUAUUGGGGUAAUAUAAAGAUUAAGUAAAUUCUUUAAUUUUUAUCAUUGAUUUAUGAAUAUAUGAUCCAUUAGUAGUGAUUAGAAGAUUAAGUUACCUUAGGGAUAACAGCGUAAUUUUUUUUGAGAGUUCAUAUCGAUAAAAAAGUUUGCGACCUCGAUGUUGGAUUAAAAGUUAUUUUAGGUGUAGAAGCUUAAAAGUUUGGUCUGUUCGACCAUUAAAUUUUUACAUGAUCUGAGUUCAAACCGGUGUAAACCAGGUCGGUUUCUAUCUUUAGUUUAUUAAUAUAUUUCAGUACGAUAGGACCAAAUAUUUAAUAUAUUUAUAUUUAUUUAUUGAAUAUUAGUAUUAUUUUGGCAGAUUAGUGCGAUGAAUUUAGAUUUCAUUAAUGUAAGGUUGAUUACAAAUAAUACUUGUUUUAUAAGGAUUUAAUUUGUAUAUUUGUUUGUAUGUUAUUAUUAAUUGUAUGUGUUUUGGUUGGGGUAGCUUUUUUAACUUUGUUAGAACGAAGGGUUUUGGGUUAUAUUCAGAUUCGUAAAGGUCC
rnacentral:rRNA from 1 species